CAGCAGCAGCAGUGAGUGAAAGGUGGCAUAAAGGGGGAAUGACACAGAGGACAACAAAUGGGAUUCAUUUAGUCAAGUAGUGGUCAAAGGGUUGGAGCAGUGAGGGCAGUUUAAGUGCUGUGUUUUUUAUAACCAGCUAUAAUAGUUUAGGAUUCUAGGAGAGUCUAGGAUUUUGGGAAACUGAUGGGUGACACACCUUUUACAUUUGAAAUGACCAGGCAACCGUAAGGGAAAACUUAAGGUGGUACGCAGACAAACACAUGGGUGAAAAAUGUAAAGGGACAUUCAGGGCAUACUAGGCCCGAGGGCUUUUCCUCCAGUAUUAUCAGUAUAGCUUCCAAAUUAAAAUUACUUUGCAGCACAAUGAUUAGCUGUUUUGCAGAAAUUGAAUCUGAUAACAAUCUUGCUUUAGGAUUCAUAAUGCAUACUAAUACUUCUUAAAUUAAUCUACAAAGAGCCUCUGCAUAACUUAAUCCCUUAUCCCAAUCAGUAUAAAAAAGCAGUAUCGUAAAUCCAAAGAUUCUAUUGUUUCCACUUGUGGAACUUGGCGUUUAGAGACAUGGCAGUGUAGGAACAGGGUAGGCAGGAGGAGAGAUGGAGCCCAGGCUGUGGAUCCAGACCCAGGCUGCUGUGGUAAGAUUGGCCCUCAAACUUGGAACAGGUGAGCUACUUAAUAUUUGAUAUACCACAAAGGAGUGCAAAAGAAAUAUCUAAUUGUACUUUUUGGAUGAAUAGGUGCUGAACACACAAGCCCAAUGGUGAUGGGAGGCAGCAGUUGGUUCCUUUUCCUGUGCCACCAGGGAGAUGGACGUAGGACACCAUGGACCAGAAGCUGCAACCUGGAGAGCCGAGCCGAAGAUUACGGGCCAAGCUGGACCGGACCGAACCAUGAUAAUGCUUUGCCACGGGAUGUCUUCAGGACCCAAGCUGGACGGAACUGGACCCAAGCCCAUGAUGUUACGUUUCUACAGGAUGUCUUCAAGAUCCAUGACCCAAGCCGGACCCAAGCCCAUGAUAUGUUUCUACAGGACGUCUUCUGGAUCCAUGACCCAAGCCGGACCGAACUGGACCCAAGCCGGACUGAACUGGACCCAAGCCCAUGAUGUUAUGUUUCUACAGGAUGUCUUUAAGAUCCAUGACCCAAGCCGGACCGAACUGGACCCAAGCCCAUGAUGUUACGUUUCUACAGGAUGUCUUCAAGAUACAUGACUCAAGCCGGACUGAACUGGACCCAAGCCCAUGAUGAUGUUAUGUUUCUACAGGAUGUCUUCAAGAUCCAUGACCCAAGCUGGACCGAACUGGACCCAAGCCGGACCGAACUGGACCCAAGCCCAUGAUGUUAUGUCUCUACAGGAUGUCUUCAAGAUCCAUGACCCAAGCCGGACAGAACUGGACCCAAGACCAUGAUGUUAUGUUUCUACAGGAUGUCUUCAAGAUCCAUGACCUAAGCUGGACCAAACCCAUGAUGUUUUGUUGCCACUGGAUUUCCUCAGCAUUCAUGGCUCAGGCUGACCAAGCCCUUGCUUCGCCUUGUCCUAAAAUCCUCACCUCCAAAUGGCUGCGCCCAAACUACAAGAUAUUGUCAACAUCCUGUGCUGAGUUUUCCAUGAACUGUACUCCUGAAAACCAGAGACCUUUUUAUGUCAACGAUAAACAAAAAGCUACAACCUAUAGCACAAAGGGCUUGAUGCUUUUUUGCCCAAUUGCUUCAACAGACUCAUCAAUGUUUAAGUCUAAAUUUUAAUUUAGACUUGAACAUUUAUUUAUUUUUUGCGAUAAUUAAAUGGCAUGUUUACGGAACAAUUUGCAUUUAAUGUUUAAGGAAAAGUGCAGGAGAUGUUAAAAUCCCUGUGCAUGUUCUUUUAGAAUCAACAUUUUCAUUUUUCUUAAUGUAGAAUCAUUCAGGAUUUAAUGAGCUGGGCUUCCUUAACACUACAGAGAACAAGGUUAACCGAGUCGACUCAAGGAGACUUUUCUCCUUCCCUUCUUCUCUCUGUGUGAAGGAAACCUGACCAUUUUAUCCUGACUGACUGGUGAACCAUGGUCGUGCAGUUUCCAAAACUAGAAAAGGAUCCUUCUAGCUUUGUGAAUCAGCUCAACGUGGUAUUACCCACUUGUUAAUUUUUAAUCAUGUAAAGCUAAAUGUCUUUUUGUAGAUCAGAGUCUGAAGCCUUUGGGCAAAUCUGGGUUUUAUUUCAAAUGUAACUGUCAAAAUGAAUUGUCUUGUCACUGCCUCAGACUGUGAAACGUCACCCAUACAUACAACCGGCACACGCUGACGCAACCUUGUUUUCCUAUCAUUCAUAUACUGUACUUGCAUCAAUUCAUUUUGUCAAAUUAAAAUUUA